GACGAACCAUCCAAACGUUAUUCGGAAUUAUUGGGUUUAAAGGGUGCGUAGGCGGCCCUGUAAGUCAGUGGUGAAAGCCUCCAGCUCAACUGGAGAACUGCCAUUGAUACUGCAGGGCUUGAGUACAGACGAGGUUGGCGGAAUUGAUAGUGUAGCGGUGAAAUGCAUAGAUACUAUCAAGAACUCCGAUUGCGUAGGCAGCUAACUAGGCUGUAACUGACGCUGAGGCACGAAAGCGUGGGGAGCGAACAGG
rnacentral:rRNA from 1 species